rnacentral:rRNA from 1 species
GAGGAAUAUUGAGCAAUGGGCGCAAGCCUGACUCAGCAACGCCGCGUGGACGACGAAGGCCUUCGGGUUGUAAAGUCCUUUUCUGGGGGACGAUGAUGACGGUACUCCAGGAAGAAGUCCCGGCUAACUACGUGCCAGCAGCCGCGGUAAAACGUAGGGGGCGAGCGUUAUCCGGAUUUACUGGGCGUAAAGCGCGUGUAGGCGGCCUGGAAAGUUGGACGUGAAAGCUCCUGGCUUAACUGGGAGAGGUCGUUCGAUACUACCAGGCUUGAGGUUGGAAGAGGAGCGUGGAAUUCCCGGUGUAGUGGUGGAAUGCGUAGAUAUCGGGAGGAACACCAGUGGCGAAAGCGGCGCUCUGGUUCAGACCUGACGCUGAGAAGCGAAAGCGUGGGGAGCAAACGGGAUUAGAUACCCCGGUAGUCCACGCUGUAAACGAUGGAUACUAGGUGUCGGAGGUCAUUUACCCCUUCGGUGCCGAAGCCAACGCGUUAAGCAUCCCGCCUGGGGACUACGGCCGCAAGGUUA